rnacentral:rRNA from 1 species
UACGAAGGGGGCUAGCGUUGCUCGGAAUUACUGGGCGUAAAGGGAGCGUAGGCGGGUUAUCAAGUUGGAGGUGAAAGCCCAGGGCUCAACCUGGGAACUGCAUCCGAUACGGCGGGACUGGAGUGUGGGAGAGGUUGGUGGAAUUCCCAGUGUAGAGGUGAAAUUCGUAGAUAUUGGGAAGAACACCGGUGGCGAAGGCGGCCAACUGGACCACAACUGACGCUGAGGCGCGAAAGCGUGGGGGAGCGAACAGG